GCAUUGGUGGUUCAGUGGUAGAUUUCUUGCCUCCCACGCGGGAGACCCGGGUCCGAUUCCCGACCAUUGCA
rfam:Danio rerio chromosome 4, GRCz11 reference primary assembly.